rnacentral:rRNA from 1 species
UACGUAGGGUGCGAGCGUUGCCCGGAUUUAUUGGGCGUAAAGGGCGCGUAGGCGGCUCGGCACGUCCGUUGUGAAAUCGCCCGGCUCAACUGGGCGGGGUCAGCGGAUACGGCCGAGCUUGAGCAAGCUAGGGGGCAAUGGAACUCCCGGUGUAGUGGUGGAAUGCGUAGAUAUCGGGAGGAACACCGGUGGCGAAGGCGGUGGUCUGGGCCUGAACUGACGCUGAGGAGCGAAAGCCAGGGGAGCAAAGCGGG